rnacentral:lncRNA from 1 species
GAAGAAAGCCUAUGCUGGGAUUUCGGCUGCGCCGCCCGGGCCCGCCUGCGAGCUCACACGCUGCCUGCAGGCGCUGGAGAGGCAGUGAGAGGAAGAGCCCUGCAGACGGCUCUGUGGUAUUUUCAUCAACGCGACAGCCUCCCGGAGCGCGAGCACGUACACCCUGGAAGCCGGGGCCUGGCUCCAGAACUGGGUCUUUCUUCCCCUGGGCGGGAAUGGUGACACCCGAGCCCCUCCCCCUCGGAGGCAGGGAAGGGGGGCGUGUCCCGAAUGCAACUCCAUCCCCAACCUGCUCCUCCCCACCUGCCCAGGUCCCAAAUCUGAUGUCCCAUGAGGCCAGGGGCCAGGUCCCCUCAGACCUCAGAAUGUGGCCUUAUUUGGAAUCGGGUCUGUGCAGACAUAGUUAAGGACCUCAAGAUAAAAUCACCCUGGAUUUAGGGACGGUUUAAAUCCAGUGAGUGGGGGGUCCUUACAAGAGGAGGAGGUGACACAGAGACACACAGGGAAGAAGGCCAUGUGACAGUGGAGGAGAGAUUGGAAUGAUGGACGCCAAGGAUCGCUGGCAGCCAUGGGAAGCUGGGAGAGGCAUCCAGUGGUUUCUCCCUCAGAGCCCCAGAGGGAACCAAUCCUGUUGAUCACUUGGUCUUGGACUCUGGUCUCAUAAACUGCGAGAAAAGACAUUUCUGUUGUUCCAGCCCCCCACUUUGUGGUGACGGGUCAUGACAGCCCCAGGGCAGGGAUACAGCCUGAAUGCGCAGGGGGCGAAGAGAGGCUGGAGUGCCAUGAGGUCCUCGGUCUGAAGGACAGAGGGAGAGGAUUGCAGGGAAAUGUGCUCAGCUGAGGUGCAGCCUCAGGGGGCUCGAGGCUCUUGGGAAUCCCUGGCUGUGGGAGUCCUGGGUGCCCCAGGAACGGGUCUGCUGCGGGACCAGCCCAUGGGAAGGGUGGCCUCGGGACAGAUGCUUCUGUGGCACGUUUCCAUGGCCACCACUGUGGUUGAGGGAAUGAAUGGACAAUGAAGGCAAGUUGCUGUUGGCCCGAGAAAGAUCCUGUAGGAGCAGCAGAAGCCAGAGAUGCCGUUGUGGCAGAAGCCUCUAGAAGGGAGGGCCUGUAUUUGUUCACUCACAGCUGGCUGGUUGCAGAGGAGCUGAGCUCCUGUCCUGAGCUUCUGUUGACUUCAAACGACAGCAAGUUAAUCUCUCCUGGUCCAAGAGACCAGUAAGGGGACAGGUCACAAGUCCUCACUUUUGAUCCCAGUGGCAGAGUUCAGGGGUCUCUAAGACCCUCUCAUUUGUGACACCGGUUGCAAAUUUGGGGGGCCCCCGAGACCACGCUCAGUUUCCGUCAUUCACUGGAAGGACUCACAGAACUCACCGAGAGCUGUGGUGCUCAUGGUGGCGGUGAAUUACA